rnacentral:rRNA from 1 species
CUGGGGUUUUAAAGCGCACGUAGGCGGAUAUUUAAGUCAGGGGUGAAAUCCCGGGGCUCAACCCCGGAACUGCCUUUGAUACUGGGUAUCUAGAGUCCAGAAGAGGUGAGUGGAAUUCCGAGUGUAGAGGUGAAAAUUCGUAGAUAUUCGGAGGAACACCAGUGGCGAAGGCGGCUCACUGGUCUGGUACUGACGCUGAGGUGCGAAAAGCGUGGGGAGCAAAACAGGAUUAGAUACCCUAGUA